rnacentral:rRNA from 1 species
AUUGAACGCUGGCGGCAUGCCUUACACAUGCAAGUCGAACGGCAGCACGGGAGCAAUCCUGGUGGCGAGUGGCGAACGGGUGAGUAAUAUAUCGGAACGUGCCCAGUCGUGGGGAUAACGUAGCGAAAGCUACGCUAAUACCGCAUACGAUCUAUGGAUGAAAGCGGGGGAUCGCAAAACCUCGCGCGAUUGGAGCGGCCGAUAUCAGAUUAGGUAGUUGGUGAGGUAAAGGCUCACCAAGCCGACGAUCUGUAGCUGGUCUGAGAGGACGACCAGCCACACUGGGACUGAGACACGGCCCAGACUCCUACGGGAGCAGCAGUGGGGAAUUUGGACAAUGGGCGCAAGCCUGAUCCAGCAAUGCCGCGUGCAGGAUGAAGGCCUUCGGUUGUAAAC